UACGUAGGGCGCAAGCGUUGUCCGGAAUUAUUGGGCGUAAAGAGCUCGUAGGCGGCUUGUCACGUCGGGUGUGAAAGCCCGGGGCUUAACCCCGGGUCUGCAUUCGAUACGGGCAGGCUAGAGUGUGGUAGGGGAGAUCGGAAUUCCUGGUGUAGCGGUGAAAUGCGCAGAUAUCAGGAGGAACACCGAUGGCGAAGGCAGGUCUCUGGGCCGAUACUGACGCUGAGGAGCGAAAGCGUGGGGAGCGAACAGG
rnacentral:rRNA from 1 species